CCUACGGGAGGCAGCAGUGGGGAAUAUUGCACAAUGGGGGAAACCCUGAUGCAGCGACGCCGCGUGAGUGAAGAAGUAUUUCGGUAUGUAAAGCUCUAUCAGCAGGGAAGAAAAUGACGGUACCUGACUAAGAAGCCCCGGCUAACUACGUGCCAGCAGCCGCGGUAAUACGUAGGGGGCAAGCGUUAUCCGGAUUUACUGGGUGUAAAGGGAGCGUAGACGGUGAUGCAAGUCAGAAGUGAAAGCCCGGGGCUAAACUCCGGGACUGCUUUUGAAACUGUGUGACUGGAGUGCGGAGAGGUAAGCGGAAUUCCUGGUGUAGCGGUGAAAUGCGUAGAUAUCAGGAGGAACACCAGUGGCGAAGGCGGCUUACUGGACUGUAACUGACGUUGAGGCUCGAAAGCGUGGGGAGCAAACAGGAUUAGAUACCCUAGUAGUC
rnacentral:rRNA from 1 species